GGGAAGGCCCUUCGGGGUACACGAGCGGCGAACGGGUGAGUAACACGUGGGUGAUCUGCCCUGCACUCUGGGAUAAGCCUGGGAAACUGGGUCUAAUACCGGAUAUGAGCUCCUGUCGCAUGGCGGGGGUUGGAAAGGUUUACUGGUGCAGGAUGGGCCCGCGGCCUAUCAGCUUGUUGGUGGGGUAAUGGCCUACCAAGGCGACGACGGGUAGCCGGCCUGAGAGGGCGACCGGCCACACUGGGACUGAGACACGGCCCAGACUCCUACGGGAGGCAGCAGUGGGGAAUAUUGCACAAUGGGCGAAAGCCUGAUGCAGCGACGCCGCGUGAGGGAUGACGGCCUUCGGGUUGUAAACCUCUUUCAGCAGGGACGAAGCGAGAGUGACGGUACCUGCAGAAGAAGCACCGGCCAACUACGUGCCAGCAGCCGCGGUAAUACGUAGGGUGCGAGCGUUGUCCGGAAUUACUGGGCGUAAAGAGCUCGUAGGCGGUUUGUCGCGUCGUCCGUGAAAACUUGGGGCUCAACCCCAAGCUUGCGGGCGAUACGGGCAGACUUGAGUACUGCAGGGGAGACUGGAAUUCCUGGUGUAGCGGUGAAAUGCGCAGAUAUCAGGAGGAACACCGGUGGCGAAGGCGGG
rnacentral:rRNA from 2 species